GAUGAACGCUGUCGGCGUGCCUAAUACAUGCAAGUCGAGCGAACGGACGAGAAGCUUGCUUCUCUGAUGUUAGCGGCGGACGGGUGAGUAACACGUGGAUAACCUACCUAUAAGACUGGGAUAACUUCGGGAAACCGGAGCUAAUACCGGAUAAUAUUUUGAACCGCAUGGUUCAAAAGUGAAAGACGGUCUUGCUGUCACUUAUAGAUGGAUCCGCGCUGCAUUAGCUAGUUGGUAAGGUAACGGCUUACCAAGGCAACGAUGCAUAGCCGACCUGAGAGGGUGAUCGGCCACACUGGAACUGAGACACGGUCCAGACUCCUACGGGAGGCAGCAGUAGGGAAUCUUCCGCGAUGGGCGAAAGCCUGACGGAGCAACGCCGCGUGAGUGAUGAAGGUCUUCGGAUCGUAAAACUCUGUUAUUAGGGAAGAACAUAUGUGUAAGUAACUGUGCACAUCUUGACGGUACCUAAUCAGAAAGCCACGGCUAACUACGUG
rnacentral:rRNA from 1 species